UAUGUUUGGGCUUCGUAUGCAUGCGACUUUUUCUUUGGGCUUCACUAUCACGCGAAAUGCAUUUCUCUGGGCUUCACUAUCAUUACGCCGAAUGAACGCCUCUAUCUCUUCGUCUUCUUCACUUGAAAUCACAGCUAUUCAGUUCUAUCGCCACUUCUCCACAAUCAAUACUGCACUAUAUCUCGAUCCAUCAAUUUCUACUUUAUGAUUUCGUUUCAGUUUACUCUUUUCCUCCUACUUUAUAUACUCAUUUUCUUUCCCGAGUACAAAUCAAACCCUAGAACAUCUCUAAAACAAAUCAUGAUAAUGGGGAUUGCGGAAAGAGACAACAUAUGGAGUUCAGUUUGGAGAAUUCUUUUGAAGGUUAUCAUCCUCGGUGAUAGCGGGGUUGGCAAGACAUCGUUGAUGAAUCAGUUUGUGAAUCGCAAGCUUAGUAAUCAGUAUAAAGCCACGAUUGGAGCAGAUUUAUUGACUAAAGACGAAGAUGCGGAGGGAUUGACCGUUGAGGAGUUGGAGAGUACGCCAGAGACUCCACCGGCCCACCGUUUGAAAACAGAGACGGCGAAGGCGCCGGCCAGGGAGAGAAAGGAGCAGAAGCCGCGAGGUUUCUUCUCCGGGAAGCAGAGGGUUUGAUCUAACCGAGUAAAGCUAUGAACUUUUCCAACACCCGGUUCCAUGGAUAAGAAAAAAUGAUUUGUGGCUCCAGUGCUCUGCUGAAACGUCCCUUUCCCCGCCAUCAUUUACAUAUUAUACCGUCCUCGCCAGUGGAGCUCAAACGUCUCUUCCCCUCAAAGUUUGGUCACUUCUUUGGUUGGCCACGAAGGCAUUCAGGUAUGCUACAGUUUGUUAAUCGCUAGAUUGAUAUUUACAAUAACGAGUUUAAAUGCCAAGCGUUUUCUGGUGCUUUUUAAAAGAGGAGAAUCAAAUGAUUGACCUGGAACCGCUUGAUGUUCUCUUGACAAUCUCUCUAAUACUAUUUAUCUUGGCUUUUUAUUUGUUACUAUUUUCUGAAAUCUUUUAAUAGUUUUUUCAGCUUCUGGAAGCUCUUUUUUUGUAGAAUGUAGGCAGCAGCCAGCACAUAGAGAUUAUGGUAACAAAAUGUAUUACAAACUCUAACAACAUCAAAGAAUCCAAGUAUAACAAAGGUAGUCAAGUCAUCAGCAUUUGCUUAUACGCUUUUUCUCUUCAUAACGAGCUUCUACGCUAUAUUAAAUCCAAUUCCACUGGUUUGUUGGUCGGUACAUUGCAAUAUGGUUUAGAGCUUCUGUGAAUCAUAACUGUUGUACAUUUUCAUGUAGAUGACAGUGUAACAGCGAUAACUACAAAUAACUGGAUUUGUAUUCCGGUUGUGCUUAUUAUGUUCUAUUCCGUACGGCUCUUGCAUGGAGAAUGCUCUACGGACAGAUAUUGAAAACCAUUGUUGUUUUGUCCUUAGGAAAAACUCUGAUCAAAACGUUUAAUAAGCUAAACUCAAUCGCAUUUACAAGUAAUUAUAGAAAGUUUUCUACAAUCUUAGUUUCAACAUGUCCGUUCAAAAUGUGAGUUUGGUAAUUGUAUUUUGUGUUCUUUAUAUAUUCCAGGCGUCAAUUGAUCCAUCAACGCAGAAGGUUUCUGUUUGUUGCAGAUGCUAAUAGUUCUUAACUACGGAGCUCUGGACUGCAGUCAAGUAUUCAUCAAGCUGUUAAAGCUAAAAAAUUUAGUAUAUUCGAUUCAGUUUGGUUUGCAUAGGUUUAUUAACAUAAAAAGAAUCCCUUCUAAGGAACUGGGUAAUGGAUAAUUCUUAGCCAUAAGUGAAAUCCGAUUUCUAUUCGGUUUAUGUGAAAUUGUGAAAGAAAAUCGUUGGUACAAUGAUGGUUAAUUUUAAGUCAAUUACAAGGAAGCCACAAAGAAGAACCAUAAAACGGCUUUGAUGGUAUGCAGCUCAGAAGUAUUCUAUGUCCCAAAACACUUUUUGUGAGUUUUUUUUGAGCAAAGACAUCCUUUUAUUUGUAUUUAGUUAAUAACUAGCAAAGCGGGUUACGAAAUACAAACUUUUGUGUUAUAUUGCCAAAAUCUUUAAGAAUAAAAUUCCUUCUCUGCUAAAUUAAAGUAGAAAACAUUAAAUAUAAAGUUAAUAAUAGAUAGUAUAUUACAAUUUGGAAACACACCUAGAAGGGUAAAUAAAAAUAGAACCAGAAACUAUAUUAUAAUUUGUUCCCAUGUAUUAUUUGUGAUAGAAUUUUAACAUUUUAAUUAAAAUGACCCAAACUGUAUAUACAAUUACAACUGGUAAAUUCGUAAAAUAUAAGCAUAAAUAUAAAUUUGAAAAAGUAAAAAGUAAAAAUGAUUACAUUAAAAAUUGUGAAAAAUAACUCAAUUUAUUUUCAUUGUAUUUGUUAUGUUUUUUCUUUCCAAAGACAACUCCAAAUUCUCUCUCGAGAGUAAAUAUUUGAUUUGUUAUGUUAAUUGUGUUAUUAAUCUACUCUACAGUAACAUAAAUUCUAUGAUACAAUUGAAAAAUAAACCCAAAUAAAAAUCUGGAAAUAUGACAAAUAUUCCAUUUAAAUUAGAAACAGUAAAACUGUUCCAAAUUUAGUUAUCUUACAAUAUUAAAAGAAGAAUAAGCUCAAAGCUCAGGGCAUCCACGUAGGAUUAAUAAAAUCAUCCAAUCAUUAUGUGACAUGUCAGCCAAAACUACACACUCAUCUCACCCAUGUACAAUUUACAACUACGCGAAACCUUUCCAUCUUCUCCACGAGUCCUUCUCCAAUUUGUCGUUGCAAAAAUUGUUACAUCUUCCAUAAAUUCUGCGUCAGUUUAGCUUUUUAACUCACUUCUUCAUUCAAUUUCUUCUGACCGUCGCUUUCUCUCCCUUGGAUAAAGCAUUCUACAUCCAAUCUCCAAGAUCCAGAUUUCUCUUCAGAUGUCGUAACAUGAUCUCGACCCUUGGCAGUUUUCUCUUUGCAGUGGCCGGACCUUGAAGUGCGGUGCAGAUCCAGCACACGGCGGACGACUACUGUCCCUUAUCGGAAAAAGCUUUAUCUCCAUGUAUGUAUAUGACGAUAUAAACAGUGGAGGAACAAUGAACCUAGAAUUUUAUUGCAUUGACAUAUGUUAUUGAAGGUAUGACAACUUUAGAUCUCUCUAUUUUUCGGUUUAAGUAUUUCGUUUCCCCUUUUCUAUUUCUUUGGAAAAUAUUAGAGUCCAUAAGUCCGAAAAAGAUUAUUGUGCACAUAUUUCUUGAUUUUCCGUAACUUCUCAUGUUUUGAUAUUGAGGCACCGUAGAGUACUAUGCCAGCUUUGAUAUUGCUUUUGUGGGCUGCAGCUAAAGCUUACAAACUUAUAGUGACUAUGUUAGCUUUGAUAAACGUUCAAAGAAGGAUGCUUAUACACGCACUUGGAGCAGAUAUUAUACUAAGGAAUCCAGAGAAACGUCUCAAAGGUGCAGUGGAAUGAGCUAAAGAGAUAGUUCUCAAGACAAAGAAUACUUAUAUGUUACAGCAAUUUUAUAAAACAGCUAAUCCAAAGAUCCCCUUUGAAGCUACAUGACCAGAGAUCUGAGAAUAUACAAAGAUGAUGUCGAAUUGGAACUGGUGGUCGUUGGUGUUGAAAGAAGUGUGAUUUCUGAAGACCGUACUGGAAUUCGUGGAUGUUAAGCUACUUGAUGAAGUGUUUUUAAGGAUAGAAAUAAUCUCACCUAAUUGGAAAUCAACAAUCCUAGCUGAUACAACUCUAUCCAAAAAUAAAAGAGGAUGAUUCAAAAUGCUUAUAUAAGGUAGCAACGAGGAAACAAUUGCGACGGAGAUAAGACUACCAUUGUAGAAAGGAUUGUUGCUGCUGGUAUAUAUAAUAAUCUCUUAAUACUCCUUUCUUCUACAUAACGUUAUUGGGUUGGUACUUUGGGGGGGGAACAUAAAACAUACAUCAGGUCGAGAUUUCAUCUGGAGCUGCUGUAGUUGCAGCAAUCAGCUUGGCUAAAAGGGCUGCGAAUGCAGGAAAACUCAUCAUGCUUCUGUGUAGGUCAGAUGAAUUGAAAUAAAGAGGAUUUGAUAUACCAAUGCUAUCUGAACUGAUGGAGCUGGAGGCUAUGAAAUCAAGUUCUCAGCUAAACCAUAUGGUGCAUCCUCGGUUCUUAAAUUGAAAGAUGAAUUAGGGAAGACGGUUUUGGAUCUGGUGAAGAAUAUUAUGGAUCCAAAUUUCUCUGUCAAAUUGAAUGGUCGUGUUCAGUUCUCCUCAAAUAGCAAUGCUGAGUUGAAUGAUCUUAUCUAUUACUUCUGAGUUUAAUUUGACAAAUAUUCAGCAAGAUGGAAUGUUUUUUCCCUCUUUUAUUUUAACAAGGUUUGACAGUGAAGUAUUAACACAGGUAACAGUACUAGCACGUGAGGCUCGUGCAUUCAUCAAGUAAACAAAACACGAAGCGAAAAGCUAAGUAUAGAGAGACCUCUACAAGGAGAACCUUCUGUCUUUGUUGAUAGGCAGUGAUCAUCAACACAAACGAACAACAGACUCUCUAUACAUAGAUCACGCGGAACAAUUUCAGAGCUUCUUACUCAGUUUUCGCCACUGGAACUGGAAUCAAUGUUAUGGUUUUGAAGGAAUAAGACACAGAUUAAUCUCUGAGGAAGCAAAAGCCACAACCAAGUACUUUAUUUCCUGAUCUGAAACAUCUUAUAUCCUAUGUAAAGUAGAUGUCUCUUUGAUGACCUGAAGAACAUAUAAAUUGUUUCUGUGUUGUGAGUAAAUAUUCUUUUUAGUUUUUACUGCAUGUGGUCAAGAAAAAGAUUACACAGUUUGUAAUGUGGAAUGAUACGACAAUUAGUCUAUUGAUUUUUAAAA